AACGGAGGGAGCAAGCGUUGUCCGGAAUUACUGGGCGUAAAGAGCGCGUAGGCGGCCAUGUAAGUCGUGUGUGAAAGGCCGGGGCUUAACCCCGUGUAUGGCAUACGAUACUGCAUGGCUGGAGACAGGUAGGGGCGAGCGGAAUUCCCGGUGUAGCGGUGGAAUGCGUAGAUAUCGGGAGGAACACCAGUGGCGAAGGCGGCUCGCUAGGCCUGUUCUGACGCUGAAGCGCGAAAGCGUGGGGAGCAAACAGG
rnacentral:rRNA from 1 species